rnacentral:lncRNA from 1 species
UGAAUUUUUUCAAACACUCGAGGCACACCAGCUAAAAAUGUUGGCUUCAACUCCAUUAUAUCAUCCCGCAAUGCAUUUAAGUCCUUCAAGAUAAUACAUUUAAGUUUCAAUAACAAAUUAGUAUUAUAAUAUAUAUAUUAUUCUCAACUUUGUUUUCGCUUUUUUAAUCAUUCUCUUAUUUUUCAUCCUCCUCAAACUGACUACAAAAUCAGAUCCAAAUCACAAAGCAGAGAGUUUCUAUUUCUUACACCAUGGUAAUAGCCAACAGAAGCGCCUUUAUGGAAGAAAUAUUCCUCAAUACCACGGUCUAGGAUAUGAGCAAGUGGAAGAAAGGAUAGAUAGACAUCAUCCACUGUCAUCUAUGUCGAGCCCCCAAAAAAACAAAACAUCAGAUGCACGAGACAUGCAAGAAGAAUAAUGCAGUCCAAAUAAGAAGCAUGUAAACCAUGAAA